AGCAGCCGCGGUAAUUCCAGCUCCAAUAGCGUAUAUUAAAGUUGCUGCAGUUAAAAAGCUCGUAGUUGAAUUUCGGGACCGAUAUAUCGGUCGUGCCUCGGUACGUACUGGUAUUUUCGGUUUCUCCCUUCUGACGAACCUUGAUGUCAUUAAUUUGGUGUCUUGGGGAAUCAGGACUGUUACUUUGAAAAAUUAGAGUGUUUAAAGCAGGCUCACGCUUGAAUACAUUAGCAUGGAAUAAUGAAAUAGGACGUUUGAUUCUAUUUUGUUGGUUUCUAGGAUCGACGUAAUGAUUAAUAGGGAUAGUUGGGGGGCAUUAGUAUUCAAUUGUCAGAGGUGAAAUUCUUGGAUUUAUUGAAGACUAACUACUGCGAAAGCAUUUGCCAAGGAUGUUUUCAUUAAUCAAGAACGAAAGUUAGGGGAUCGAAGACGAUCAGAUACCGUCGUAGUCUUAACCAUAAACUAUGCCGAUAGGGAUCGGAUGAUGUAUUUUUANGACUCAUCGGCNCUUACGGGAACC
rnacentral:rRNA from 1 species